rnacentral:rRNA from 1 species
UUCGACACACUAUCAUUAACUGAAUCCAUAGGUUAAUGAGGCGAACCGGGGGAACUGAAACAUCUAAGUACCCCGAGGAAAAGAAAUCAACCGAGAUUCCCCCAGUAGCGGCGAGCGAACGGGGAGCAGCCCAGAGCCUGAAUCAGUGUGUGUGUUAGUGGAAGCGUCUGGAAAGGCGCGCGAUACAGGGUGACAGCCCCGUACACAAAAAUGCACAUGCUGUGAGCUCGAUGAGUAGGGCGGGACACGUGGUAUCCUGUCUGAAUAUGGGGGGACCAUCCUCCAAGGCUAAAUACUCCUGACUGACCGAUAGUGAACCAGUACCGUGAGGGAAAGGCGAAAAGAACCCCGGCGAGGGGAGUGAAAAAGAACCUGAAACCGUGUACGUACAAGCAGUGGGAGCACGCUUAGGCGUGUGACUGCGUACCUUUUGUAUAAUGGGUCAGCGACUUAUAUUCUGUAGCAAGGUUAACCGAAUAGGGGAGCCGAAGGGAAACCGAGUCUUAACUGGGCGUUAAGUUGCAGGGUAUAGACCCGAAACCCGGUGAUCUAGCCAUGGGCAGGUUGAAGGUUGGGUAACACUAACUGGAGGACCGAACCGACUAAUGUUGAAAAAUUAGCGGAUGACUUGUGGCUGGGGGUGAAAGGCCAAUCAAACCGGGAGAUAGCUGGUUCUCCCCGAAAGCUAUUUAGGUAGCGCCUCGUGAAUUCAUCUCCGGGGGUAGAGCACUGUUUCGGCAAGGGGGUCAUCCCGACUUACCAACCCGAUGCAAACUGCGAAUACCGGAGAAUGUUAUCACGGGAGACACACGGCGGGUGCUAACGUCCGUCGUGAAGAGGGAAACAACCCAGACCGCCAGCUAAGGUCCCAAAGUCAUGGUUAAGUGGGAAACGAUGUGGGAAGGCCCAGACAGCCAGGAUGUUGGCUUAGAAGCAGCCAUCAUUUAAAGAAAGCGUAAUAGCUCACUGGUCGAGUCGGCCUGCGCGGAAGAUGUAACGGGGCUAAACCAUGCACCGAAGCUGCGGCAGCGACGCUUAUGCGUUGUUGGGUAGGGGAGCGUUCUGUAAGCCUGUGAAGGUGUGCUGUGAGGCAUGCUGGAGGUAUCAGAAGUGCGAAUGCUGACAUAAGUAACGAUAAAGCGGGUGAAAAGCCCGCUCGCCGGAAGACCAAGGGUUCCUGUCCAACGUUAAUCGGGGCAGGGUGAGUCGACCCCUAAGGCGAGGCCGAAAGGCGUAGUCGAUGGGAAACAGGUUAAUAUUCCUGUACUUGGUGUUACUGCGAAGGGGGGACGGAGAAGGCUAUGUUGGCCGGGCGACGGUUGUCCCGGUUUAAGCGUGUAGGCUGGUUUUCCAGGCAAAUCCGGAAAAUCAAGGCUGAGGCGUGAUGACGAGGCACUACGGUGCUGAAGCAACAAAUGCCCUGCUUCCAGGAAAAGCCUCUAAGCAUCAGGUAACAUCAAAUCGUACCCCAAACCGACACAGGUGGUCAGGUAGAGAAUACCAAGGCGCUUGAGAGAACUCGGGUGAAGGAACUAGGCAAAAUGGUGCCGUAACUUCGGGAGAAGGCACGCUGAUAUGUAGGUGAAGUCCCUUGCGGAUGGAGCUGAAAUCAGUCGAAGAUACCAGCUGGCUGCAACUGUUUAUUAAAAACACAGCACUGUGCAAACACGAAAGUGGACGUAUACGGUGUGACGCCUGCCCGGUGCCGGAAGGUUAAUUGAUGGGGUUAGCGCAAGCGAAGCUCUUGAUCGAAGCCCCGGUAAACGGCGGCCGUAACUAUAACGGUCCUAAGGUAGCGAAAUUCCUUGUCGGGUAAGUUCCGACCUGCACGAAUGGCGUAAUGAUGGCCAGGCUGUCUCCACCCGAGACUCAGUGAAAUUGAACUCGCUGUGAAGAUGCAGUGUACCCGCGGCAAGACGGAAAGACCCCGUGAACCUUUACUAUAGCUUGACACUGAACAUUGAGCCUUGAUGUGUAGGAUAGGUGGGAGGCUUUGAAGUGUGGACGCCAGUCUGCAUGGAGCCGACCUUGAAAUACCACCCUUUAAUGUUU